UACGUAGGGGGCGAGCGUUGUCCGGAUUUAUUGGGCGUAAAGAGCUCGUAGGCGGUCUGUCGCGUCGGAUGUGAAAAUCCAGGGCUCAACCCUGGACCUGCAUUCGAUACGGGCAGACUAGAGUUCGGCAGGGGAGACUGGAAUUCCUGGUGUAGCGGUGAAAUGCGCAGAUAUCAGGAGGAACACCGGUGGCGAAGGCGGGUCUCUGGGCCGAUACUGACGCUGAUGCGCGAAAGCGUGGGGAGCAAACAGG
rnacentral:rRNA from 1 species